rnacentral:rRNA from 1 species
UACGGAGGGUGCAAGCGUUAAUCGGAAUUACUGGGCGUAAGGGGUGCGUAGGCGGUUUGUUAAGUCUGUUGUGGAAUCCCUGGGCUUAACCUGGGAAUGGCAUCCGAAACUGCAUGACUGGAAUAUGGUAGAGGAAGACGGAAUUCCACGUGUAGCGGUGAAAUGCGUAGAUAUGUGGAGGAACACCAAUGGCGAAGGCAGUCUUCUGGGCCAAUAUUGACGCUGAGGCUCGAAAGCGUGGGUAGCAAACAGG